CAGCAGUGGGGAAUAUUGCACAAUGGGGGAAACCCUGAUGCAGCGACGCCGCGUGAGCGAUGAAGUAUUUCGGUAUGUAAAGCUCUAUCAGCAGGGAAGAAAAUGACGGUACCUGACUAAGAAGCCCCGGCUAACUACGUGCCAGCAGCCGCGGUAAUACGUAGGGGGCAAGCGUUAUCCGGAUUUACUGGGUGUAAAGGGAGCGUAGACGGAGUGGCAAGUCUGAUGUGAAAACCCGGGGCUCAACCCCGGGACUGCAUUGGAAACUGUCAAUCUAGAGUACCGGAGAGGUAAGCGGAAUUCCUAGUGUAGCGGUGAAAUGCGUAGAUAUUAGGAGGAACACCAGUGGCGAAGGCGGCUUACUGGACGGUAACUGACGUUGAGGCUCGAAAGCGUGGGGAGCAAACAGGAUUAGAUACCCUGGUAGUCCACGCCGUAAACGAUGUCGACUUGGAGGUUGUGCCCUUGAGGCGUGGCUUCCGGAGCUAACGCGUUAAGUCGACCGCCUGGGGAGUACGGCCGCAAGGUUAAAACUCAAAUGAAUUGACGGGGGCCCGCACAAGCGGUGGAGCAUGUGGUUUAAUUCGAUGCAACGCGAAGAACCUUACCUGGUCUUGACAUCCACGGAAGUUUUCAGAGAUGAGAAUGUGCCUUCGGGAACCGUGAGACAGGUGCUGCAUGGCUGUCGUCAGCUCGUGUUGUGAAAUGUUGGGUUAAGUCCCGCAACGAGCGCAACCCUUAUCCUUUGUUGCCAGCGGUCCGGCCGGGAACUCAAAGGAGACUGCCAGUGAUAAACUGGAGGAAGGUGGGGAUGACGUCAAGUCAUCAUGGCCCUUACGACCAGGGCUACACACGUGCUACAAUGGCGCAUACAAAGAGAAGCGACCUCGCGAGAGCAAGCGGACCUCAUAAAGUGCGUCGUAGUCCGGAUUGGAGUCUGCAACUCGACUCCAUGAAGUCGGAAUCGCUAGUAAUCGUGGAUCAGAAUGCCACGGUGAAUACGUUCCCGGGCCUUGUACACACCGCCCGUCACACCAUGGGAGUGGGUUGCAAAAGAAGUAGGUAGCUUAACCUUCGGGAGGGCGCUUACCACUUUGUGAUUCAUGACUGGGGUGAAGUCGUAACAAGGUAACCGUAGGGGAACCUGCGGUUG
rnacentral:rRNA from 1 species